UACGGAGGGUGCGAGCGUUGUCCGGAAUCACUGGGCGUAAAGGGCGCGUAGGUGGCACGUUAAGUGGCUGGUGAAAUCCCGCGGCUCAACUGCGGGGCUGCCGGUCAGACUGGCGAGCUAGAGCACGGUAGGGGCAGAUGGAAUUCCCGGUGUAGCGGUGGAAUGCGUAGAGAUCGGGAAGAAUACCAGUGGCGAAGGCGUUCUGCUGGGCCGUUGCUGACACUGAGGCGCGACAGCGUGGGGAGCAAACAGG
rnacentral:rRNA from 1 species